GCCGUCACAGAACAAGAGACCAAAGAUGCCCUCGAGGGUUAGACGUCAAACCUCCCUCGACCCGCAGACCCCUCAGCCCACACCUUACCUCCUGGUGUGAAGACAUUGUCCUGAGAUGUGUGGUUGGACUGUCAGAAGCUUAGGACAAGGUCAACAGAGCCAGGGCCAGACUACAGCGGGGUCCCACAGCAAGGGUCCAGGCCAGACUUUAGGAAUCACUGUAACAGAAGACAUGUGCCCUGCCUGUCAUGUGAAUUGCCUCACUGAUUAGAAGGAGUCACAUGACAGGGUCACAUGACUGAGGCUAGUUUUUAUCCCUGUGGUGCCUGGGAGGCGUCCAAAGCCAGAGUGGCCUCACCACAUUUCCCGCAGCUGUCUGGGGAAUGGCCUGUGGAGCUGAAGGAUUACCCUGCCCUGCGGGAAGAUUAACCUUCUUGGCUCAUCUUCCCAUUAACUCUGACCAGCCUUCAUGUCCCUGCUGAAGAAAAAUAUUCCCACAGCAUGAUGCAACCACCGCCAGGUUUCAUAAUAAAGAUGUU